GAUGAAGAACGUAGUGAAAUGCGAUACUUGGUGUGAAUUGCAGAAUCCCGUGAACCAUCGAGUCUUUGAACGCAAGUUGCGCCCGAAGCCAUUAGGCCGAGGGCACGCCUGCCUGGGCGUCACACGUCGUUGCCCCCCCAUCUACUCCUUCGGGAUUGCGGGGGGCGGAUGAUGGCCUCCCGUGCGCCUCGUCGCGCGGUUGGCAUAAAUGCCAAGUCCUCGGCGACGCACGCCGCGACAAUCGGUGGUUGCGAAACCUCGGUUGCCCGUCGUGUGCGGUCGUCGCGCAUCGAGGGCUCGAAAAAAUUGCCGGGCUCCGGCUCGGCUUUCAACGCGACCCCAGGUCAGGCGGGGUUACCCGCUGAAUUUAAGCAUAUCAAUAAGCGGAGGA
rnacentral:misc_RNA from 1 species